GCUACGGGAGGCAGCAGUGAGGAAUAUUGGUCAAUGGGCUUACGCCUGAACCAGCCAAGUCGCGUGAGGGAAGACUGCCCUAUGGGUUGUAAACCUCUUUUGUCAGGGAGCAACGCCGGCUACGUGUAGCCGGACUGAGAGUACCUGAAGAAAAAGCAUCGGCUAACUCCGUGCCAGCAGCCGCGGUAAUACGGAGGAUGCGAGCGUUAUCCGGAUUUAUUGGGUUUAAAGGGUGCGUAGGCGGAAUGCCAAGUCAGCGGUAAAAUCGCGGGGCUCAACCUCGCUCCGCCGUUGAAACUGGCGUUCUUGAGUGGGCGAGAAGUAUGCGGAAUUCCUAGUGUAGCGGUGAAAUGCGUAGAUAUUAGGAGGAACACCAGUGGCGAAGGCGGUCUGCUGGACAGCAACUGACGCUGAGGCGCGAAAGCGUGGGGAGCAAACAGGAUUAGAUACCCGGGUAGUC
rnacentral:rRNA from 1 species